ensembl:lncRNA
CACAUUUUUCUCAAAGCAGCUGGGGUUGCCAGAUACCCUUUUUAAUAUGGGACUUCCCAUAUUUAAGCCUCAAAUCUCAAAUGCUGUAUUAAAAACACGUGAUGCAUUGCCUGCUCUUGUAUUUCCUCUACAUUUUAAUAGGGGACACACGUUGUGAGGUUGAAACGCAGAAAAUCCUGCAGCUGCUUUCCUGCCCUGGUCUUAUGGCCUCCUCUGGGAGCAGAGAGACACGAUCCAGUUGGUGGCUGUGACAGGAGCGAGAACUGGAGCAGCCCUAAGGAGCUGAGGAGGGCUGCAGGGCAAUGAGCACACUGAGGCACCAGGAAUGCACACCGGUGUAUUAAAGUUCAGAAUGCAGCAACUCCCCUCUGCUGCCCCAUGUCAGGUGUACUUGAUCCUCCUGCCAAGGACUCACUAAUGUGAUAAGAAAAUAAAUAUUUUUGUUUUGUAGGCAAUACUUUUGCUUAUACAGCUCAGGAGAUAGCAAUCCAGGUCACUAACUUCGGUUUGGGAUUCUCUAUGAUCUCUCCUCUACAAAAUACUAGCCAGAUAGUCAUGCUUUGUCCUGCAUUUGGUUACUUGUUCUCUCUAAGUACCUUGUCACCUCGUCUUUACUGAAGUUGACUUCUUUUUCACCAGAACACUUCUCAACUUGUCAGGAUCAUUCUGACUUCCAAGUCCUGCCCUCCAUUGCUCUCGCCAUUUCUCCAAGCCUGGUGUCAUCUGUGCGUUUAAUAAGUCUGCUUGCUUAUAAAGCAUACAAAUUGUUAAAGAAAACACUAGAACCAGACCUUGGACAGAUCUUUGAACUAUAUGUGAUGUCUCUUUAAUUUAUUUCCUCAGAGAAGCAUCUACUCUGUUAUUUGGAGCAAUUCAGGAGCGGAACAGAUUCCCACAGACAAUUUCCACGGAUACUACACAACACGGAGGUCUAAGCUUGCUUCUUCCGCUUCCAGAUGUGUGGAAUUACUGCAUUGCUCACAGCAUCAGCUCUUGUCUCUGGAAGCAAAGUCUGGAAGGCAUCCCAACUGUCCUCAUCCCUCCCCUCCGCGGCAGUAUCACUGUUCUGUGGACACAUGUGCAGAUCUAGCUGGAGCUGAUGAUCAACCCAAAGGAGGAACCGUCUCAGUCCUGAGAAUACAAAAUAGCUACCACAAAAGACAGCAGUGGUUCGUCUGUGGGUUCCCAUGCAACUUGGAAAUACAAGAGAGAAAUCAUCAUUGCCUUUUGCAGCCUGUAAGAUUUGUGACAGCCAAUUGCAGCGAUAUCCAUAACUUCUGAAAAAGAAAACAUCAUUUUUCUCCUACUGGCAUAUCUCAACUGCACGAGAAGCGUUUCUUUCAGCAUCACCGAAGGUCUGGGAUAUCUCACUUCAUGAAUCACAUUAGAUGUCUUCUCCUAAUUUUGUACGACCAUCUGUGAAUCUUUCCAACCCAGGUUCCAUCAGGAGCAGGAUCUGGCAGUUGGAAGAGAUUUGAGACCAACUCACUCGAUCCUUUUCCUGCUGCUCAGGCUGAUGAUAUUUCAGCAUAAAAGGAGGCUUUGAGCUGGUGUUGACUGCUCUUUCUCCUCUUUUCAAGUUGCAGUGCAAAGCUUUGGAUGACUGAAGUGGGAAGGAUAGAGGAAAGAAAAGCAACCCAAAAGGGAAGUUAUCCUGAAGAGCAGGAAGGCUGAGAAUUGGGACCUCCAGUUUCUCUAAGCCUUCACCAGCACACCUGCUUGAGGGGCCGCAGAACUCCAAAGUUCAUCAAUACUAUGUGAAUCACUGCUGGAGACUGACAUUAGAAAUCCAUCUUCAUGCUGGCCUGGUUCCUCAUCUCCUACAUCACUAAAUUACAACUUAAAUCCAAAUAUCUCCCAAAUGUUUUGAUACAAGACCUAAAAAACCCCCAUUUCUCAGCUCCCUGAAGACUUCAUAGACCAUAUGCUUCUCAAAGGAGAAGUUAUGCUGUUUCACUUCUUUCUAAUGACUGUUGGCCAAUGGGAAAAUGUAUAACUGAACAACUUAGGUUAUGUCCGCUUGGAGAAGUUGAAGAUUUCGUUAGAUGCUGGACAACAAUAUUCACAUCCAAAGCACUCAAUUUCCAUGCUGCAUCAGGCUUAGUCUCAGUCUCCCCAGAACACAGUGAAAAGACGUGACAGUAGCUUUCUGUGUAGAAAUAUAUUUGGCAAAUAUAUAAACCCUGCAGAGCAUCCCUUGAGAGGCUAAAGGAAUUUAAACUUAAGUCCCAUGCAGAUCUCCUCUAAGGUGUUAUUUUCCCCCCUAAAUACCAUGUUGAAAUUCUACUUUUACCAAGUUUAAAACUGGAAGCUACAUUAUGUUUGCAGAACUGGAAAUCUCAGUGAAUAAAUAAAUCUUGAGAAGCACAGCUACAGGGAAACAGGCACAGACCUUGCACCAUUCACAGCUUUAAAAAAAGUGUUGGAGCUUAGUAAAGCCAGCAUCACACACACAGCAAAUUAGAAGGAGGGCACGCUCUCCUCAUGAACUUGGGGAAAACCCACACAUUUCAAAAGCACAUAAUUCAGCUGUAAAAUGUUAACAACUGUUUUCCAGACUUCGCUUUGGUAUACAAAAUUCAGCCCAGAAACUCUUCCAUUUCACAAAGUAUGGUUCAAAUUAAGGGGAAAAAACAACCCUUUACAUAUCUUUGCAGUGUUUUUUUUUUUUCCACAACACCAGAGUUCUGUCAAAGUGGGAAUCUUCAUAAAAACAACUAUUCAUAUUCUAUGGUUUAUUUAUGCAAAUUGGAUGGGCAAUGUUAAUUAAAUGAACACUUAGAUCUGUGUAGACCUUUUUACCAGUAGGUUUCAAGAAGAUAAAGUAUGAGAACCUUACUUUGGAACCAAAGAAAUGAAGAUCUGGAUAGGUUGGAUAGCUGGGCUGAAGCCAAUGGGAUGGGAUUCAACAAGACCAAAUGCCGGGUCCUGCACUUUGUCCACAAUAACCCCAGGCAAUGCUACAGGCUUGGGGCAGAGUGGCUGGAAGACUGUGUAGAGGAAAUGGACCUGGGGGUGUUGAUUGACACUAGACUGAACAUGAGCCAGCAGUGUGCCCAGGUGGCCAAGAAGGCCAAUGGCAUCCUGGCUUGUAUCAGAAAUAGUGUGGCCAGCAGGAACAGGGAAGUAAUUAUCCCCCUGUACUCAGCACUGGUGAAGCCACACCUUGAGUACUGUGUCCAGUUUUGGGCCCCUCACUGUAAGAAAGACAUCGAGGCCCUGGAGCGUGUCCAGAGGAGGGCAACAAAGCUGGUGAGGGGUCUGGAGCACAGGCCUUAUGAAGAGCGGCUGAAGGAGCUGGGAUUGUUCAGUUUAGAGAAGAGGAGGCUCAGAGGAGACCUUAUUGCUCUCUAUAACUACCUGAAGGGAGUUUGUAGUGAGCUGGGGGUCGGCCUCUUCUCUCAGGUGACUAGUGAUAGGACUAGAGGGAAUGGCUUCAAGCUGCACCAGGGAAGAUUCAGGCUGGACGUUAGGAAAUACUACUUCUCUGAAAGGGUGGUCAGGCACUGGAAUGGGCUGCCCAGAGAGGUGGUGGAGUCACCGAACCUGGUGGUGUUCAAAGAGCGUUUGGAUGUUGUGUUGAGGGACAUGGUUUAGCGAGAACCAUUGGUGAUGGGCGAAUGGUUGGACUGGAUGAUCCUGUGGGUCUUUUCCAACCUUAGCGAUUCUAUGAUUCUAUAAGAAACAUUGUAAGUGACGUAUGAGCUGAUCUACCAGACUAGGAACCAAGCCAGGAGAAAGGCAAACGAAGGGAUGGAUGCAUGCAAUAAAAGCCUUCAAAUGAUGCCAGGCUGGAUUUUUUUCCUGUGACAGACAAUUAUUGUACAGUUAUGGUCUUCUAAUUAACCAGUUAAAGUACAGUUUCUGCAAUUGUCCUACAUAUGUAGGUACCUGGAUAUUAAGCCUAUAGUUUCAUGAAGUACAGAAAUUCAGUUCCCUCUGAUCCCCCUGAGAAGAAAACAGAGAACAAAACCAACCACCAUUUACCUUCCCCUGAACACCUCUGCUGGUAACAGCUUUGUAAAAUAUUCCUGUGCAAUAUCUACUGAGCAUUAGCAUUGUGCACUUCAUACAGUGAUGCAUCACUGUCCUUUGCUGCAAUUUUAGUUAAUUACCCCAUGAAAAACUUAAAAGAUUUAAGCUCAUAAAAAGUAGUAAGUAAUACAUAUCAGUAGUUUGAUUUCUUGCUACAACACAAAGUUGGAAGUUCAGCCUUCAGUAACCUCUGAGCUAUUCCUUAUCCCCACAGCUUCUGUGACAGUACUACAGGAACGUCUAUCUGUACACAGCAUACAAUAUUACCCUUUAUGAAGGCAGCACUGGAACGGAGAUAUAUAAUUAAUUACAUUCAAUUUAGCACCAUGGAUUUAAGGAUUUGCCUUCCAUUAGCAAACAGAGGAGGGAAACUUAGAAAUUAGAUAACAUCUAUUAUAGACAGAUCAUAUAAAUGACUAUUUCACACUUAUUUAAUCCUUCAAAAGCACUAUCAGAGAAAAUAGUUGUUUCUUAUAAGCAGAUGUACUGUUUGAAGGCACUCAGAGCAAUAUUCAGAUGCUGCUGUAUGGAGUGUGUGUUAAGGAAAGCCCAAAGCAGUUGGGACAGUCUGCUGUAAGCUGGCAGGGUGAGGGCAGAGGCUGCAGACACAGUGCAUGGAUGGAUGUGUGCAUGGCUGGGGAUAGAUGCAUGGCCACACUGCCAAAGAGACCUGCCUAGCUCUUGGGCUGGGUGUAGAGGCAGACAACCCUGAUCUUCAGCACAAUGGGCAUGCAGCAAGACUAAACAGAAAAGAAGAUACUGGGAGAAAAGUGAUGGCUUGAGACUUUUUCUGAAAAAAAAAAAAAAUCAGAAGAACCCCAACUCUGCUACAACCAAAAAUCCAAUAAUCCAAAACACUUCAUCUGUGAAAAGAAUUCAAAUUCAGUUACUGACUGCACAACAAAUUACUGCAUCUCAGUCAGAGGCAGUGCGUGGAAGCUGAAACACUGAGAACACAGCUAGAACGUAUUCCAAACGCAGCCUUCACCCAGGACUCUCUGAAGCACAGUCGACAUCAGAGACAGCAGAGUAGGAAAUAUGUUCUCAGAUGGAAAGGUCUGCUACAUUCCUCCAAGAAUUGCCCUCUAGAGCCGGAGCCUCUUUGUCUAACAGGUACAGCUGAGGCAGGUCCCUGUGCUUUGAAACACUGCUGUUAGAGAAGAGUCAAGGAAUGGCCCUUGGUCCAAGACUGAAUGGUUGGUAUUGACAAACUCUGGAGUAGGCAGCAGGACUCUGCUUUCACGUAUACAUUUAUUUCACAGCCUGAAGCUGGAAAAGCUUUAAUUUAAAUCUUACAGAUAAAAUAGAAAAAAAAGCUAUUGAUCUUAAAAAUACCAUGCAUGCUAAAAAAAAAUAUUAGCAAUGAUUAAUAACCUUACAGAUAUAUUGUGAUAGUAUAGUAUAUGUAUUUUUCUUGUUAAAGUAUACAAUUUAGGUGUAAAACAUUUCAUUUAAUUCAUCUCCAACACUACUAACCUUUUCUUACUUAAAUCUGUAAUGCAAAUCUAUAAAAAUCACCAUCAGCUAUAACAGAUGAGUCCAUUGAAAGGCAGUGGCCCUAGGGAUGGCUCUGACCUCCUGAUCUUUCCAUCGCCACUGCUCACACAGCCAGGACUCCUUUGUCCAGAUCAAACCUUUCAGUAGCUGGCACUGAUGAUCAGAGCACUCUGAUCUCUCCCACAUCUCUCUGGACAUGGCUUUUAUGUUCUGCUGCGCCUUCAUGAGACUAAACAACAAUCAGCAUUUGACUCUAAAACUCUUCUCAUGGCCAUCUUACAGUUCAGACACGGUCCCCCCAGGAACCUGUAGCAUGGGGGUCAUAGAAAUCUCAUCCUGUUCCCCCUAGAUACAUUCACAUAUGUCCACAUCAGGUAGAAUACAUGUAGCAAAACCAAACUGGGCAUGCACAAUCACCUGUAGUUUCUUCAGGCAAGGCCACCUCAGAGAUGCAAGAAUAACAGCCUAGGAAAAGUUUUAGAGACCUUUUUCCUGCCAACAUACACAAACCUAGUUACUUUGUUCCAAGGGGCCAACUUCAUCAUGUACCAUACUGGUAGUUAAUUCGGCCUAAAUGCUUGCCAGUUUUUAAUACAGCUUCCCUAAAGUUGCUAUUAAUCUGGGGUGAAUAUAAAGUGCACUGCUUUCUCCCAGCUUGUUUCAUCCUCUGAUUACAUUCACAUAUUCUACGCAGCACAGCUGUGAACACUUCAGGAGCAGCCAUCCUGAAGAUGGAGAUUGACCAUCCAGUACAACCCACCCCAUCCCAACACUCUGAUUUUCUUUCUGUAGGGUUUCACCAUCGAUUGUAGCCUUCCCAAAUCUUAUCUAACACUAUCUCAUCUAGUCUGUGUUCCAAAAUUUGAUUUAUGCACCUGUAUUCAUUCAUUUUUCACUUGGCUUUGCUGUAAUCUGUCUAACAGCAGAGAUAGCAUUUGUACUUCUGACAGCUUUCAAAAGUUUACACAUCAUUUGAAAGCCAUGCAAUUGCAGAUAAAUAAAAAUAGUCUUCGUGUUUUAAUUGUUCGCAGUGCAACAGUCAGCGUUGGCAAUGGCAACAGUCAGUUACAGCUAAUGAUACCUUUUGAUAAAGGCAUCAAAUUGUUUUACCCCCAAACUAACCUGUACUACUUUGAGUAAUUUCUGCUGGCACCUCUGGCUUAUGUGCUGCUGUUGGUCAGUUUUUAUCCUAUCAAUGUGUACUGUUAUGGUAAUUGGAGGCUACAUUAGACUAUUUGUGUUUACCCUUAUUGCUAGUUAAUCCCCCCAGAACAGUGAAGCACCACUCACAGAUUUUCCAUGUUAGCUGUUAUUUUGCCACUUCUACACAUAAACUUGCUUGAAACCACCUCAAAUCACAGAUUUGUUGGCCAAGUUCCUAUUACCCUCAGCAGCUCUGUAUUAGGACCUACGUGGCUCAAUUAAUCAGGUGGCUAACACCAAGCAAGUCUAAAGACAAGGAUGAAUGGAAAGCAUCCUGGGGGACAGCUGUGCAGGAAAAUUAAAGUCAAAAAGGAAAGUUGCAGCAGAGACCACAGUAGGACAGAGGAGGAGCUCCUGGCUGUGAGCUGUCUGCAGCUCCAGGAGCCCUGGCUUUUGGCACUUUGUGAAGAAUUGCAGCUGCUGAUGCUGUCAAUAGUCCAGAAAAAGUAGCAGCUGCAAGGGAAGGAAGGAGGACUGCUUGGGACUUCCUGACUGACCUCACACUUCUGUAGCCCAGAUCAUUUCUCCUUCUCUCCUGCCAUACUUCACCCAUAAAAACACUGAUUACUAUGAUUUCAUGCAGGUGGAGGAAAUUUCACUUUCACGGCUUCAGAGUUGUUUCAUUUUCAGAUCCUAAGGGUUUCCACAGCUUGGAGAGAUCACAGGAGUGAUUUUUUCAAGCGUGGGGCUUGGGGGCUCUCAGUGUUGGGACCUGCCUUUUUACUACUGCUGGAAAGGUCCAGAACUUGAGGGUUGAAAACUAUCAAGUGAACAUCAUACAACAAAAUACAAUUUUCACAGAAAAUGGUUUCUCUUUGUUAAAUUUCACAUCUACUCAUUGUAAAAGCAUCCCCAUAAAACAAAAAAAAAGUGUUCAUGUUAUUUUGUGUGAAAAGACAAAACACUUAUUAGAAAGCAUAACGCUUUUUGAUUCUUGUCUUACAGAAUAAGCUACGAAUCCUCAACAUAUAAAGUGACUAUAAAGUAAAAACUAAUUUCUCAUGUAGUUAUUCUGUUCCUGAGACCUUUCUGGCUAUCUAAUAUAUUUCCAAAGGAACAUGUUGUUUUGAUAACUGAAUACUCAAUUAGAUAUUCCUCUAGCAAACCAAUUCAGAACUUCCUAUCACGAUCUUCUGUACAGCUACGCAGAUAGGGCAUAUAAUUGGACAAAACUUUUCACAGCCACAAGAUUAAGUUUCUUCUUUAAUAAAUAAUUCUUUUUAUUAUUAAAACAUAUGUUAAAUGUAUAUUGUAGACAACUGUAUAGCCAUUUUGGAAGGCUUAUAGUAAGACCUUGUGAUGUUAUACUGAGAUGACAAUAGCAGGGUGGCAAAGUCUUUGGCUACAGCAAAUGAGAAUGAGCCCAAAUUCAGCAGCCACAGAUGCAGAGACAGAUAAAAAGAGCUACUUACUUCUAGAAGGCCUCAGAUAAGCAGGGAACCCUGGCAAGAUAUGCCCUCACCUCCACUGACAACCCUUAAAUGAGGUCUGGGAAGGGGUGGAUCCUGGCUGCACCCCUUCCAGUCACUCAGGUGCAUUGCAUACACCUGACCUCCUUUGGGUUUGCCCUGCCUUCCCACC